ACGCACCACUGGUGUUCGGGUUGUCAUGCCAAUGGCAUUGCCCGGUAGCUAAGUGCGGAAGAGAUAACCGCUGAAAGCAUCUAAGCGGGAAACUUGCCUCGAGAUGAGUCUUCCCUGUCGCUUUAAGCGACCUAAAGGAACGUUUAAGACUAAGACGUUGAUAGGCUGGGUGUGUAAGCGUAGCGAUACGUUGAGCUAACCAGUACUAAUGAACCGUGAGGCUUAACCUG
rnacentral:rRNA from 2 species